UUAGAGAGGUUGCAAAAGUUGAAGAAGCUUUCCAGGCAGGCAGAAGGUCUUUGAGCAAAUGCAAAGCAAGUACCAUAUCCUGUACUAACAGAGACUCAAGGAGAGAGAGUGAACAGAACUCAUCUGUAUCUCCAAAAAUCAGCAACACCAGCUCUCUCACCAGGCAGGUAUUUCAGUAAUUCUGGGGUGCUGUGUGUCAAGUACAUAUGGGACAGAGCAAGACAGCCAGCAAGCAAGCCAGAUAAGUAGCACUGUAUCAUCCCAGGAAAAAGGAGCUCGGAGUCUGGCUUAGGAUCAAACUGAUGAGACUGAGCAG
rnacentral:lncRNA from 1 species